rnacentral:rRNA from 1 species
GAUCCUGGCUCAGGAUGAACGCUAGCGACAGGCUUAACACAUGCAAGUCGAGGGGCAGCACAGGUAGCAAUACCGGGUGGCGACCGGCGCACGGGUGAGUAACGCGUAUGCAACUUGCCUAUCAGAGGGGGAUAACCCGGCGAAAGUCGGACUAAUACCGCAUGAAGCAGGGGCCCCGCAUGGGGAUAUUUGCUAAAGAUUACAUCGCUGAUAGAGUAGGCAGUGUCCGUUACCUAG